GCACAGCUGAUGAGUCCCACACCAGGACGAAACGACCGUCCAAUGC
rnacentral:hammerhead_ribozyme from 1 species